rnacentral:rRNA from 1 species
AAUACGUUCCCGGGCCUUGUACACACCGCCCGUCAAGCCAUGGAAGCUGGGGGUACCCGAAACCGGUGCGCCAACCCGCAAGGGGGGUAGCCGACUAAGGUAAAACCAGUGACUGGGGCU